rnacentral:rRNA from 1 species
CCUGUUUAACAAAAACAUGUCUUUUUGAGUUAUUUUUAAAGUCUGACCUGCCCACUGAAAUUAUUUAAAUGGCCGCAGUAUUUUAACUGUGCAAAGGUAGCAUAAUCAUUAGUCUUUUAAUUGAAGGCUGGUAUGAACGGUUGGACGAGGUAUAAGCUGUUUCAUAUAAAUUUAUAAUAGAAUUUUAUAUUUUAGUCAAAAAGCUAAAAUUUAAUUAAAAGACGAGAAGACCCUAUAAAUCUUUAUAUUUUAUGUUGUUUAAAUUUUUUAGAUUUAUUUGAUUUUUAUAAUUUGGAAUAUUUUGUUGGGGUGAUAUUAAAAUUUAAUAAACUUUUAAUUAGUUAUAAAUCAUUAAUUUAUGAACAAUUGAUCCAUUAGUAGUGAUUAUAAGAUUAAGUUACUUUAGGGAUAACAGCGUAAUUUUUUUGGAGAGUUCAUAUCGAUAAAAAAGUUUGCGACCUCGAUGUUGGAUUAAGAUAUAUUUUUAGGUGUAGCCGCUUAAAC